rnacentral:rRNA from 1 species
AUUGAACGCUGGCGGCAGGCUUAACAUAUGCAAGUCGAGCGGGGGAAGGUAGCUUGCUACCGGACCUAGCGGCGGACGGGUGAGUAAUGCUUAGGAAUCUGCCUAUUAGUGGGGGACAACAUCUCGAAAGGGAUGCUAAUACCGCAUACGUCCUACGGGAGAAAGCAGGGGAUCUUCGGACCUUGCGCUAAUAGAUGAGCCUAAGUCGGAUUAGCUAGUUGGUGGGGUAAAGGCCUACCAAGGCGACGAUCUGUAGCGGGUCUGAGAGGAUGACCCGCCACACUGGGACUGAGACACGGCCCAGACUCCUACGGGAGGCAGCAGUGGGGAAUAUUGGACAAUGGGGGGAACCCUGAUCCAGCCAUGCCGCGUGUGUGAAGAAGGCCUUAUGGUUGUAAAGCACUUUAAGCGAGGAGGAGGCUACUUUAGUUAAUACCUAGAGAUAGUGGACGUUACUCGCAGAAUAAGCACCGGCUAACUCUGUGCCAGCCGCCGCCGUAA